rnacentral:lncRNA from 1 species
CAAGUUAGCCAACCGGGUUUAGCCAACUGGAUUGUGCCGUCCAACUCCAGCCAAUGGAGACAGGACACAGUAAGAAGGACAAGCUACUUAGAGACAGCCCUGAAGAUGAGUUUUCACCCCUGAGAACAGAAUGACAGAAGGCCAAGAUGUGGUUGAAAUGGCUGGUGAGAGACAUCGGGUGAGGAAAGGCCAGGCUCACCAAGCAUUCAGACACACCUGUGCAACUGUCCUUGCAAUUAGGAGCCAGGCCCCAGUGAGCUUCUCACCACAUGUGU